UCCGUCUCUCGCUCUCUGUUCACUGGGCAGCCCGAGCACGAGGACAGGAUGGGAGGGAAGCAGGCUGGGGAUCAGAUGACAAGGGACCGCCAGCGCUCUGCGUUUGCCAUGGAAGUCUGCAGGGACCAUAGACACAUUUUAAAGAUGUCCGGCUAAUGUCCUGCGAAGAUAAUUGGCCCAGAUUAUCUCCUGAGACCAAGAGGCACCAAUCAACAGACCCAGCGGCCCUGGUUCUUGGGUACUUUUUCCUCUCAUUGUAAUUAUUAACAUGGUUCAGUUUAAAGUUCAGUUUCACAGGUAAAUUCAAGGUUCAGGUAUUUUCUCUCCUCGUCUAAAAAUACCGCGUAGACUGGAGACGGGUAAGGAGACUUCAGGACAAAAUCCUUGGGGGUGAGUGGUUUGCUUGCUGGUGGACCCUCAGAACUAAGCACCUCCGUCUUCUCUGCACCCCCUUUCUCACCCACAGAUCUCCUUGUCCCCAGCUUCACUUAGAGUUCUUGGGGAUGCCAGUCAGCAAGCUUCCAAAAAGGAGCCCAAGACACACAGCGACCCCUUUUCUCCAAGACGAGCUAAUUGUCCUAACUCACAGAUACACAGAAAACCCGCCUGGAGACAACACCUGCGCUCGUGCCGAGAUCACGGAUGAAAACGACCCUGUGUGUCCUGCAUGUAAUGCAAUCACAUUUAAUUCAUGGGCGACAGGAACCAUUAAAAAAAAUCAAGUUAAA